GGAAAGGCCCUGCUUUUGUGGGGUGCUCGAGUGGCGAACGGGUGAGUAACACGUGAGUAACCUGCCCUUGACUUUGGGAUAACUUCAGGAAACUGGGGCUAAUACCGGAUAGGAGCUCCUGCUGCAUGGUGGGGGUUGGAAAGUUUCGGCGGUUGGGGAUGGACUCGCGGCUUAUCAGCUUGUUGGUGGGGUAGUGGCUUACCAAGGCUUUGACGGGUAGCCGGCCUGAGAGGGUGACCGGCCACAUUGGGACUGAGAUACGGCCCGGACUCCUACGGGAGGCAGCAGUGGGGAAUAUUGCACAAUGGGCGGAAGCCUGAUGCAGCAACGCCGCGUGCGGGAUGACGGCCUUCGGGUUGUAAACCGCUUUCGCCUGUGACGAAGCGUGAGUGACGGUAAUGGGUAAAGAAGCACCGGCUAACUACGUGCCAGCAGCCGCGGUGAUACGUAGGGUGCGAGCGUUGUCCGGAUUUAUUGGGCGUAAAGGGCUCGUAGGUGGUUGAUCGCGUCGGAAGUGUAAUCUUGGGGCUUAACCCUGAGCGUGCUUUCGAUACGGGUUGACUUGAGGAAGGUAGGGGAGAAUGGAAUUCCUGGUGGAGCGGUGGAAUUCGCAGAUAUCAGGAGGAACACCAGUGGUGAAGGCGGUUCUCUGGGCCUUUCCUGACGCUGAAUAGCGAAAGCGUGGGGAGCGAACAGGCUUAGAUACCCUGGUAGUCCACGCUGUAAACGGUGGGUACUAGGUGUGGGGUCCAUUCCACGGGUUCCGUGCCGUAGCUAACGCUUUAAGUACCCCGCCUGGGGAGUACGGCCGCAAGGCUAAAACUCACAUGAAUUGACGGGG
rnacentral:rRNA from 1 species